rnacentral:rRNA from 1 species
ACGAACGCUGGCGGCGUGCUUAACACAUGCAAGUCGAACGGGAUUUAGUAGACAGAAGCCUCGGUGGAAGAUUACUAAUGAGAGUGGCGAACGGGUGAGUAACGCGUGAGCAACCUGCCUAUGACAGUGGGAUAGCCUCGGGAAACCGGGAUUAAUACCGCAUAAAAUCGUAGAAACACAUGUUUCAACGGUCAAAGAUUUAUCGGUCAUAGAUGGGCUCGCGUCUGAUUAGCUAGUUGGUGAGAUAACAGCCCACCAAGGCGACGAUCAGUAGC